rnacentral:ncRNA from 1 species
GGCCACCUUUCGGGGGGGCUUUUACCAUAGGCAAAGCGUUGCUUUGCCGCAUAAGCAAACGGAAGACACAAA